AACGAACGCUGGCGGCAGGCUUAACACAUGCAAGUCGAGCGCCCCGCAAGGGGAGCGGCAGACGGGUGAGUAACGCGUGGGAAUCUACCCAUCUCUACGGAACAACGCAUGGAAACGUGUGCUAAUACCGUAUACGUCCUUCGGGAGAAAGAUUUAUCGGAGAUGGAUGAGCCCGCGUUGGAUUAGCUAGUUGGUGGGGUAAAGGCCUACCAAGGCGACGAUCCAUAGCUGGUCUGAGAGGACGAUCAGCCACACUGGGACUGAGACACGGCCCAGACUCCUACGGGAGGCAGCAGUGGGGAAUAUUGGACAAUGGGCGCAAGCCUGAUCCAGCCAUGCCGCGUGAGUGAUGAAGGCCCUAAGGUUGUAAAGCUCUUUCACCGGUGAAGAUAAUGACGGUAACCGGAGAAGAAGCCCCGGCUAACUUCGUGCCAGCCGCCGCGGUAAUAC
rnacentral:rRNA from 1 species